rnacentral:rRNA from 1 species
CACGUAGGGGCCAAGCGUUGUCCGGAUUUAUUGGGCGUAAAGAGCUCGUAGGCGGUUCAGUAAGUCGGGUGUGAAAACUCUGGGCUCAACCCGGAGACGCCACCUGAUACUGCUGUGACUUGAGUCCGGUAGGGGAGUGUGGAAUUCCUGGUGUAGCGGUGAAAUGCGCAGAUAUCAGGAGGAACACCGGCGGCGAAGGCGGCCCUCUGGAUCGUUGCUGACGCUGAGACGCGAAAGCGUGGGGAGCAAACAGG